AAGUAGUAGACAAUCUUCCAGCUGA
rnacentral:piRNA from 1 species